rnacentral:rRNA from 1 species
AUUGAACGCUGGCGGCAGGCCUAACACAUGCAAGUCGAGCGGAGCGGCGGACGGGUGAGUAAUGCCUAGGAAUCUGACUGGUCGUGGGGGAUAACGUCCGGAAAGGGGCGCUAAUACCGCAUCCUAUCACAUGAGCCUAGGGCGGAUUAGCUAGUUGGUGGGGUAAAGGCCUACCAAGGCGACGAGCCGUAACUGGUCUGAGAGGAUGAUCAGUCACACGUGAACUGGGACACGGUCCAGACUCCUACGGGAGGCAGCAGUGGGGAAUAUUGGACAAUGGGCGAAAGCCUGAUCCAGCCAUGCCGCGUGUGUGAAGAAGGUCUUCGGAUUGUAAAGCACUUUAAGUUGGGAGGCGUUACCAACAGAAUAAGCAACGGCUAACUUCGUGCCAGCCGCCGCGGUAAUUC